rnacentral:rRNA from 1 species
ACAUGACAAGUCCGAACGGUGAUGCUCCAGCCUUGCUGGAGUGGAUCAGUGGCGAACGGGUGAGUAACACGUGAGCAACCUGCCCCUCACUUCGGGAUAAGCCUUGGAAACGGGGUCUAAUACCGGAUAUGAGCACCUGCCGCAUGGUGGGUGUUGGAAAGUUUUUCGGUGGGGGAUGGGCUCGCGGCCUAUCAGCUUGUUGGUGGGGUAAUGGCCUACCAAGGCGUCGACGGGUAGCCGGCCUGAGAGGGCGACCGGCCACACUGGGACUGAGACACGGCCCAGACUCCUACGGGAGGCAGCAGUGGGGAAUAUUGCACAAUGGGCGAAAGCCUGAUGCAGCGACGCCACGUGAGGGAUGACGGCCUUCGGGUUGUAAACCUCUUUCAGCAGGGAAGAAGCGCAAGUGACGGUACCUGCAGAAGAAGCGCCGGCUAACUACGUGCCAGCAGCCGCGGUAAUACGUAGGGCGCAAGCGUUGUCCGGAAUUAUUGGGCGUAAAGAGCUCGUAGGCGGUCUGUCGCGUCUGGUGUGAAAUCUCAUGGCUCAACUGUGAGCUUGCAUCGGGUACGGGCAGACUAGAGUGCUGUAGGGGAGACUGNAAUUCCUGGUGUAGCGGUGGA